GAUGAACGCUGGCGGCGUGCCUAAUACAUGCAAGUCGAGCGAACAGACGAGGAUCUUGCUCCUCUGACGUUAGCGGCGGACGGGUGAGUAACACGUGGAUAACCGACCUAUAAGACUGGGAUAACUUCGGGAAACCGGAGCUAAUACCGGAUAAUAUAUUGAACCGCAUGGUUCAAUAGUGAAAGACGGUUUUGCUGUCACUUAUAGAUGGUUCCGCGCCGCAUUAGCUAGUUGGUAAGGUAACGGCCUACCAAGGCAACGAUGCGUAGCCGACCUGAGAGGGUGAUCGGCCACACUGGAACUGAGACACGGUCCAGACUCCUACGGGAGGCAGCAGUAGGGAAUCUUCGGCAAUGGGCGAAAGCCUGACGGAGCAACGCCGCGUGAGUGAUGAAGGUCUUCGGAUCGUAAAACUCUUUUAUUAGGGAAGAACAGAUGUGUAAGUAACUAUGGAUGUCUUGACGGUACCUAAUGAGAAAGCACCGGCUAACUACGUG
rnacentral:rRNA from 1 species